UGGGGAUGUCUGGUCGUACAAAAAAGCAGGAGGCGAUGGGUUUCUUCAAACCCUAAAAUCCUUACUAAAACUCUCAAAUUGGAGGUGCAAAUCUGGUCCAAAACGAAAAUCGAGCAUAGAUUACUGAUCCCCAUUGCAAGGGGGUUGUAAGUUUGACUCUUGACAAGCUAGAUGGAGGCUUGGAAUGAAGCGGGUCAAACGGAGCAAGUACGAAAAGGAAAGCGUAAUUUGGAUGCGAGUCUUAGGUACUCAAGGAUUAUGGGUGACGAUCAAGCAACUUUUGAAGGACCGAACACAUACUCUUGAAGCUUCCGCAUAAAUCAACUGGGUUUAAACAAUGUUUAUGAUGUAAACUGUUUGCUAAACAACUUUUGAAAUGUUUAAACGACGUACUCAAUUAUGUUAUGUUGUAUUAUUUUAAAAUUGUAAAGUAUUAAACAAACCCGUAUUUUUACAAAGUAUAUGUAGUCAUAAUUACAUGUUGUUUGUCGUAUACUUUACAAAAACCAUUAAAUAAUGACAAGGGUG